CGCGGGGUGGAGCAGCUUGGUAGCUCGUCGGAGCUUGGUAGCUCGUCGGGCUCAUAACCCGAAGGCCGUCGGUUCAAAUCCGGCCCCCGCAACCA
rnacentral:tRNA from 1 species